UCCGGGCUGGCCGCAUAGCACCGAGCAGCCUGGCGAAGAAGCAGGGGGUGGGGGGAGAGAGGCUCGUCUGAAGCAACGUUGACGGGGCCUCUAAGUGACCAGACUCUAAGGAUCUUUGGCCGUCAUUGAUUUUAUUUCCCGUGGCUGUACACAGUUAGGAAACUGGAGUUCUCGGCUGUCUUUCACCCGUGAGUCAUCAGAAAAUCGUUCCGUUGCUCUCAGAGCUACCAGUGGGAUUGGACACUUGACAACAAGUGUUAGUUGACUGGCAAUGAAAGAUGUUUCUAUUUUUCAAGAGGCUGCUAAGCAUAUGAAAAGAUGCUCAGUCAUAGAGAAAUGCAAAACCCAAUCACAAUGAGGACCAUUUGGACCAACUAGGAGGGGUGUCAUGAAACAAACAAAGCAAAACUUAAAGACGGAAAAUAGCGAGAGGACGUGGGGAUGCGAAGCCACUGGAAGCUUUGGAUGCUGCUGGUGGGGAGGUAGAACAACGUGCUUUGGAAAUGUUUGACGGCAACUCAGAAAGAAACAACUCAAAUACCCACCAGUAAAUGAAUGGAUCAGUAUAACUCGGCAUUGCUGUGAGGUAGGACGGGAUUCAGGCGUCAGAAUAUGUGACGGGCUGCAGGGAUAGGACAGCAGACCUUUAAAAACCUCUGUUUCCUCCUCCCCUGAAAGGACAUCACGCACCUAUGUUCCUCACAGCACCGUUUACAAGAUCUGGAAACAACCCAUGGGCCCAACCACAGAGGAGAGGAUAAAGGGAUCGGGGCCGAGCCACACGAUGGAGUACUACUCGGCUAAAGAAAAGAUGAAGCUGUGUGGUUUACUGCAACUUGGAUGGAAUUACAGGGUGUCAUGAUAAGUGAAAUGAGUCAAAAAGUAGAUUAGCAGCACGGGAUCUCAUGCAUAUGUGGAGUAUUAAGAAACAAGGCCAGGGAUGAGACAGCCUCUUGGGAAUGCCCAGUAGAACGGGGGACUGAGGGGGCUGAUGGGACCAGGCAAUGACAGGAGAGGGGGUCUUGGCACACUGGUGGAGGGACUGGGGUAGUCACAUGGCAAGUAGAAAACAACAACUUCAGUACUACUGUUGAA